rnacentral:rRNA from 1 species
UACGAAGGGGGCUAGCGUUGCUCGGAAUCACUGGGUGUAAAGGGUGCGUAGGCGGGUCUUUAAGUCAGAGGUGAAAUCCUGGAGCUCAACUCCAGAACUGCCUUUGAUACUGAAGAUCUUGAGUUCGGGAGAGGUGAGUGGAACUGCGAGUGUAGAGGUGAAAUUCGUAGAUAUUCGCAAGAACACCAGUGGCGAAGGCGGCUCACUGGCCCGAUACUGACGCUGAGGCACGAAAGCGUGGGGAGCAAACAGG